rnacentral:tRNA from 1 species
GUAGCUCAGUGGUAGAGUACUUGCCUUGCAUGCAUGAGGCCUGGGUUCGAUUCCUCAGC